rnacentral:rRNA from 1 species
AGCCGAAUUAWGGUGAAACCGCGAAUGGCUCAAUAUAUCAGUUUUGGUUCCUUAGAUCGUACACAGUUACUUGGAUAACUGUGGCAAUUCUAGAGCUAAUACAUGCAAACGAGGUUCUGACCGGUAACGGGAGGAAUGCUUUUAUUAGAUCAAAAACCAAUCGGCGGCGGGGUUCGCGCUCCGUCCGUCGCCAUUCGAGAUGACUCUAGAUAACUUUGAGCUGAUCGCACGGUCUAGCACCGGCGACGCAUCUUUCAAAUGUCUGCCUUAUCAACUGUCGAUGGUAGUUUAUGCGACUACCAUGGUUGUCACGGGUAACGGGGAAUCAGGGUUCGAUUCCGGAGAGGGAGCCUGAGAAACGGCUACCACAUCCACGGAAGGCAGCAGGCGCGCAAAUUACCCACUCCCGGCACGGGGAGGUAGUGACGAAAAAUAACGAUACGGGACUCGUCCGAGGCCUCGUGAUCGGAAUGAUUACACUUUAAAUCCUUUAACGAGGAUCCAUUGGAGGGCAAGUCUGGUGCCAGCAGCCGCGGUAAUUCCAGCUCCAAUAGCAUAUACUAAAGUUGUUGCGGUUAAAAAGCUCGUAGUUGAAAUUGUGUCCUGCGGUGUCGGUCUACCGAUUGCGGUACGACAGGCACGUCUGCGGGGCUUCUCGCCGGUGCGUCCACCGCCGGCGUGCGUCGGUCGGCCUCACGGUCGGCCGCGCACCGAGGCGGGCCGUCGCGGCUGUUUACUUUGAACAAAUUAGAGUGCUCAAAGCGGGCUAACACUUGCCUGAAUAUUGUACGCAUGGAAUAAUAGAAUAGGACCUCGGUUCUGUUUUGUUGGCUUUCUGAUACCAGAGGUAAUGAUUAAUAGGGACAACUGGGGGCAUUCGUAUUGCGACGUUAGAGGUGAAAUUCUUGGAUCGUCCCAAGACGGACUAAAGCGAAAGCAUUUGCCAAAGGUGUUUUCAUUAAUCAAGAACGAAAGUUAGAGGUUCGAAGGCGAUUAGAUACCGCUGUAGUUCUAACCAUAAAUGAUGCCAGCCAGCGAUCCGCCGAAGUUUCAUAAAUUUAACCCGGUGGGCAGCUCCCGGGAAACCAAAGCUUUC